rnacentral:misc_RNA from 1 species
GAUGAAGAACGCAGCGAAAUGCGAUAAGUAAUGUGAAUUGCAGAAUUCAGUGAAUCAUCGAAUCUUUGAACGCACAUUGCGCCCGCCAGUAUUCUGGCGAGCAUGCCUGUUCGAGCGUCAUUUCAACCAUCAAGCCCCAGGCUUGUGUUGGAGCCCUGCGGCUGCCGCAGCCUCCCAAAACCAGUGGCGGGCUCGCUAUCACACCGAGUGCAGUAGUUUACUCUUCGCUCAGGGCGUGUGGCGGGUGCUAGCCGUGAAACCCCCAACUUCUCAAGAUUGACCUCGGAUCAGGUAGGAAUACCCGCUGAACUUAAGCAUAUCAAUAAGCGGAGGA